GUAUGUUGCUAAUUAGCUUAAGCUCCCAGGCUGACAGGGAAAAAGCCCACAUAAUUGGAGCUGAUGUGCUGAACUCUGUCUGUCUGGAACCAGUGUGCGACUCACAGCCUUUAGGUAUUGCCUUGCCUCUGACUAAUGCAACUGGGUACAUCCUAUUCACACGGGCUCCUCGCCAUUUGUUAUCAUAUAAGGACUAGUGACAAGCAACUUCAGUAGGGCUCAUCUCCUGCAACAGGAAUAGGCAGCGCUGUGAUUGGCUGAAAAGAGGAGUGACUGAGAAUGUCAGAAGACUCCAGUGGGCUGUUGGGAAACCCUGGAGGAGCACUGGAAGAAAGGACUGAUAGAAGAAAGCCCUUUAAUUGGAGCCCAACCAGUGGACUAGUGACUUUUUUUCUGAAAUGUCAUUCUCAUCAUCUUGCAGGAGAAAUUACAUGAAUUUCAGGGAGGAGUGUAUACUAUGUCUCUGAAGAUAACUCAUUUCAUAGUAGUGAUAACUUGAAGGGUUGGGGGAUAAAUGCUAUCUCUGUAAUCUAUGCAAUUAGUAAUCUGUUUUUAUUUUUUCAUUCAGAUUCAAAAUAAUCAUAUAUGUAUAUAAUGUAUACAUGUAAUCCCAUCAAAAGCAACAAAAAAGUAGAAUCAUAUAGUCAUCAUGACUUGGACCUAUGCUGUGCUAUGCUAUGCGAAUGUUUGGUAACACUUAAUGAGGUGUGCUCCCAUACUUUGCUCUCCAUUGAAAAAUGCCUUAAAAAAUGCUCAAUAUAUUACUGUGUAUUUUGUUUAGUAAUCAUUUAAAAAGCAGGAGAGGCAAAAGGAAAUACAUGAAGACAGAACUAAAAUAUUACAAAGGAAACAUGAUUGCGUAUCUUGGUAUACCUUGGUUUUUUCAUUUUUAGGUGGUGUCAUAUUGCAUGAAUAUAUUUUUUGUUGCUUUUUUAGGAAGCAGAUGCUCAGCGGGGUGAGUUUACAUUAGCCAAUAUCCUUAUCAAGAAGCAAGUGGUACUGUAGCUGAUGUUUCAAAUAUAACUUAUUCAAUUGGUUGACCCAUAUCAUCAUCAUCAUCAACUGAUGUUUGCUUUAAUUUUUUUUAAUAUGUCAAUUCAUUAGACAGUACUGUUCUAAGACAGCAACACUCAUAGGGGCCCAUUUAUCAUACAGUGCGUAUAGAGCUUGCCAUAGUUGGCCAGGGUGAACCUCCCUUUUGCACUAUAUUGGAUUGUUAAAAGUCUCUUUAUCAAAGGCUGAAUUUUCACUUUCACCCACUGAUAAACAUGCUCCCAAAAUCCCAUAGAAAUCAACAGAGAAGGGAACCCAAUGACCCGAGUGUAACGGAAGGGAAAAAGGGCAUGACUAAGCUAGGAGGACAACCCUUUCCCUCCCCCCACCGGAUCUUAGUUGCUAGUUCAGGGCAGAAAAAAGGAGGGGCGCCCCGGAUGUGAGCUCACCUAGAUUUCGGCGGGCAGAAGGAGCAGGAGCAGUCAGCAUCCCUCCCUCCCUCCCUAAGCGGUGGUAAUCAAUAGUCGCAGUGCGGGGGGUGGGGUCGACUUUGAGCCCCAGAGAAAAUUAAAAAAGGUACAGUUGGUAAGGUGAGUGGGUAACUGGGUAGGCCUGGGGUCCCAAGGGAGAUGGAUAAUCCAGAAUGGGACCGGGAUAGUAGACAGGACACAGGCUCCGGGCCUGGGCUCAGGGUCAGACCUCUUUGGAGGUAUAAGUUAUUUGAAUGUUGUUUAAUGUUUGGAUUUACAAACGGUUAAUAAAAGUUAUGGUUGUUUAUAUCUAUA